rnacentral:rRNA from 1 species
UACGUAGGGGGCAAGCGUUGUCCGGAUUUAUUGGGCGUAAAGAGCGUGUAGGCGGCUAGAUAGGUCCGUUGUGAAAACUCGAGGCUCAACCUCGAGACGUCGAUGGAAACCAUCUGGCUAGAGUCCGGAAGAGGAGAGUGGAAUUCCUGGUGUAGCGGUGAAAUGCGCAGAUAUUAGGAAGAACACCGGUGGCGAAGGCGGCUCUCUGGAACGGUACUGACGCUGAGACGCGAAAGCGUGGGGAGCGAACAGG